rnacentral:rRNA from 1 species
UCCGUAGGUGAACCUGCGGAAGGAUCAUUAGUGAACAUAGGACGUCCAACUUAACUUGGAGUCCGAACUCUCACUUUCUAACCCUGUGCAUUUGUUUGGGGUAGUAGCCUUUCGGGGCGAAUCCCUAUUCACUUAUAAACACAAAGUCUAUGAAUGUAUUUAAUUUUAUAACAAAAUAAAACUUUCAACAACGGAUCUCUUGGCUCUCGCAUCGAUGAAGAACGCAGCGAAAUGCGAUAAGUAAUGUGAAUUGCAGAAUUCAGUGAAUCAUCGAAUCUUUGAACGCACCUUGCGCUCCAUGGUAUUCCGUGGAGCAUGCCUGUUUGAGUGUCAUGAAUACUUCAACCCUCCUCUUUCUUUAUGAUCGAAGAGGUGUUUGGAUUCUGAGCGUCUUGCUGGCCUCACGGUCGAGCUCGCUCGUAAUGCAUUAGCAUCCGCAAUCGAACUUCGGAUUGACUUGGCGUAAUAGACUAUUCGCUGAGGAAUUCUAGUCUUCGGACUAGAGCCGGGUUGGAUUAAAGGAAGCUCCUAAUCCUAAUGUCUAUUUUUAAGAUUAGAUCUCAAAUCAGGUAGGACUACCCGCUGAACUUAAGCAUAUCAAUAAGCGGAGGA